UACCAGCACCCCGAGUGGUCGGGACGAUUAUUGGGCCUAAAGCAUCCGUAGCCGGUUCUGCAAGUCCCCCGUUAAAUCCAGCUGCUCAACAGAUGGGCCGCGGAGGAUACUACAGAGCUAGGAGGCAGGAGAGGCAAGCGGUACUCAGUGGGUAGGGGUAAAAUCCGUUGAUCCAUUGAAGACCACCAGUGGCGAAGGCGGCUUGCCAGAAUGCGCUAGACGGUGAGGGAUGAAAGCUGGGGGAGCAAACCGG
rnacentral:rRNA from 1 species